AUCGCUUCUCGGCCUUUUGGCUAAGAUCAAGUGCAGUAUCUGUUCUUAUCAGUUUAAAGUUAAAAUUAACCAUAUUUAGCCACGUUUAAUGCACACUUUUUUUGCCCAAAUUUUUGAGGGCAAAAUAAAGAUCUGCAUUAUACAUGGGUAUAACAAUUACAUGCCAUGAGUAUAAUAAUCCCA